rnacentral:misc_RNA from 1 species
GAUGAAGAACGUAGCGAAAUGCGAUAAGUAAUGUGAAUUGCAGAAUUCCGUGAAUCAUCGAGUCUUUGAACGCAAGUUGCGCCUCAAGCCAUUAGGUUGAGGGCACGUCUGCCUGGGCGUCACAUAUCGUUGCCUGAUGCCAGUUUCCUCGUGAUGGGUGACUGUGCAGGGCGAAUGAUGGCUUCCCGUGAGCAUUGUUGCCUCAUGGUUGGUUGAAAAUUGAGUCCUUGGUAGGGAGCGCCGUGAUAGAUGGUGGUUGAGUGACGAACGAGACCCAAUCAUGUGAGACCCCUACCGAAUUUGGCCUUCAUGACCCACAUGCGUCUUUGGAACGCUCAUGACGAGACCUCAGGUCAGGCGGGGCUACCCGCUGAGUUUAAGCAUAUCAAUAAGCGGAGGA